CAGCAGCCGCGGUAAUACGUAGGUGGCAAGCGUUGUCCGGAAUUACUGGGCGUAAAGCGUGCGCAGGCGGUUUUGUAAGACAGGCGUGAAAUCCCCGGGCUCAACCUGGGAAUGGCGCUUGUGACUGCAAAGCUAGAGUGCGGCAGAGGGGGAUGGAAUUCCGUGUGUAGCAGUGAAAUGCGUAGAUAUGCGGAGGAACACCGAUGGCGAAGGCAAUCCCCCUGGGCCUGCACUGACGCUCAUGCACGAAAGCGUGGGGAGCAAACAGGAUUAGAUACCCCAGUAGUCCCUGUCUCUUAUA
rnacentral:rRNA from 1 species